rnacentral:rRNA from 1 species
CUUAGAAGCAGCCACCCUUUAAAGAGUGCGUAAUAGCUCACUGGUCGAGUGGUUCUGCGCCGACAAUUCAACGGGGCUAAGCAUGGCACCGAAGCUGUGGGCCAUCAUUUUGAUGGCGGUAGGGGAGCGUUUGCUCCAGCUGAGAAGCGGCCGUUGUGAGACGCCGUGGAGCGGAGCGAAGUGCGAAUGCCGGCAUGAGUAGCGUAAGGCGCGUGAGAACCGCGCCCGCCGUAUACCUGAGGUUUCCUACGGAAGGUCAAUCCGCGUAGGGUUAGUCGGGCCUAAGCCGAGGCCGAAAGGCGUAGGCGAUGGACAGCUGGUUAGUAUUCCAGCACCGCAGUGGUAGCGUUUGAUGCAGAGGGGGGACCCAGAAGGGUAGGUCUCGCGGGCCUAUUGGACAUGGUCCGUUCCUGGUCUGUAGGCGUCUCCGGGUAGGCAAAUCCGCCCGGGGGUUAAGCAGAGGGGCCGGGAGAAGUGGAGACUUUGUCAAAGCGACGAGAUUGAGCCCACGCUGGCGAGAAAAGCCUCGCUGCUAGUUACCAUCGCGCCCGUACCGCAAACCGACACUGGUAGGUGGUGGUGAGAACCACAAGGCGAACGGGAGAACCCUCCUUAAGGAAUUCGGCAAAUUAGAUCCGUAACUUCGGGAGAAGGAUCGCCCCUGGAGGUGUACCGGUUUACCCGGGAAGCUGACGGGGGCCGCAGUGAGCAGGCCCAGGCGACUGUUUAUCAAAACCACAGGUCUCUGCAAAAGCGAAAGCUGACGUAUAGGGGCUGACGCCUGCCCAGUGCCGGAAGGUUAAGGGGAGAGCUUCACGGCUUGAACCGAAGCCCCGGUGAACGGCGGCCGUAACUAUAACGGUCCUAAGGUAGCGAAAUUCCUUGUCGGGUAAGUUCCGACCCGCACGAAAGGCGUAACGAUCUGGGCACUGUCUCGAGGGGGGACCCGGCGAAAUUGAAUUGACCGUGAAGAUGCGGUUGACCCGCGGCAGGACAAAAAGACCCCGUGGAGCUUUACUGCAGUUUGGCACUGGGAGUGGGCCUGGGAUGCGUAGGAUAGGUGGGAGGCGUUGAAGCCGGGCUUUUGGGCUCGGUGGAGCCAUCCUUGAAAUACCACCCUUCCUUGGUCUGCUUUCUAACUCCUGAGCAAGCAGGAGGACAGUGUCUGACGGGCAGUUUGACUGGGGCGGUCGCCUCCUAAAGAGUAACGGAGGCGCACAAAGGUCCCCUCAGGGUGGAUGGAAAUCACCCGUUGAGUGCAUUGGCAUAAGGGAGCUUGACUGCGAGACAGACACGUCGAGCAGGGGCGAAAGCCGGUCAAAGUGAUCCUACGGUUCCGAGUGGAAGGGCCGUGGCUUACCGGAUAAAAGCUACCCCGGGGAUA